UGCCACCUGCGGGCAGGAGGUGCCCAUUCU
rnacentral:piRNA from 1 species